CCGAAGACCUCACUUAGUAGCGACGUAGACUUACCUACGUAUCAUCUAUCCAGAAAGGUCAAGCGCUUCUGUCCGAUUUUACACCUUGUCGGAUUAUAUAAGUACUCAAGGAUUAUAUAAAACUAUAUAAUCAAAUGACACAUACUUCAUAAGAGCAAAAGUAAGCAAAAGGAAAAGAGAGAAGAGCAGGUGAAGCCUGGUGGACGGAAUCGCACGACGUGGUUGUGUGGCAGCAAAGAUGCUCCGAAGAGGCACGGGGCGAACUCCCCCAUUUAUUUUGGUGGGUCUUGUGCUCGUUGUGCUCAUAUUAGCCUUCAACUACUGGACUCUUUCGUCGCAGAAUGCCGACUUGCAACAGGAGAUAGAAAAAAUCCAAGCUGAGGUCAAAAUCAGUGCUGUCAAGCAGGAACAGUCAGAAAAGAAGAAUGCAGCCCUUGGGGAGACCGUCCAUGAGAUGGAAGAGCUGUCUGGUAAGCUCAAGCAGAAGCUCAAGGAGGAAGAUGACGCACUCUCCAAGGCAGACAAGGCUAAUCGAGAGAAGAACUACGAGAUCACGAGCCUGAAGAACCAAGUUGCCAAGUUUGAGGAACAGAUUCUCUCCCUGACCCAACAAGUGGAGGAACGUGAGGUCGAGCUCAGCAAAGCCAAGGAGGCCAACACACACUUGGCCUCGGAGCGUGAUGAUGCCGUGGAAGCCAUUGCCGAGAAGGACACCCUCAUCAACACCCUCAAGAGACAACUAGAACAGGUGACAGUGAAAAGGUCUCACCUCACACUCUCCCUGGCAACAUGUAAUUCAGAGCUGGUUGGACUUAAGAAAGAGUGUGAAGAGUCACAAAGAGCAGCUGAUGACUUAGCUGAUAUUAUUGUCCAGACCAAGCGAGACGUGCAGUUGGAGUUCGAGUCAAAACUAAGCCAAGCAAAGGAGCAGCUUGCGGAGGAAAAGAGUCGCAGCAGCACCCUUCAGUACUCUGUGGAUGACCUACAGAAGAAAUUGACUCAAACCUAUGGUGACUUGACUGAAUGUGAAGAUAAAGUUGCAGAGAUUGAGACCUCCUUGAAAGCUCAGGUGGCCAAGGAAGUGAAGGAAAAGUCAAGAAGUGCCAUUCUGGAGAACUCUGUCUCGGAUCUGAACAGCAAACUGACUCAGACCUUGGCGGAGUUGACAGAGUGCGAAGAGAGUGUGGUAAAGCUCAAAACCGUGGCUGAAGCACACGAGGCUGAGCUCUCGAAGGCCCAGAAUGAGGUGGCGGCUGUGAGGAGAGAGAAGAUGGCCGUGGCAAAGCCGGAGAUGGUCCCAGGGGGCAUGAACUUGCCUGGAAUACAGCACAAAGAUCCCUACCUCGGCCCAGGGCAGCUUGGGUAUGUACAGCGGGGGGUGGUACAGACCCGUGAUAAGGGGCUGGAUGGUAUCACCUUCCACCGGGGGCUGCCCAUCCUCCCUCGUGACUCCCCAAAUACCCCCCGCAAGCAACCCAGAUUCAGUGUAGCUGACAUAGCGAAGGAGAUGAAGAUGGCAGAGAAUGAACAGGACACAGGUGUUCUAGCCAACCCCCAGGCCAUUGCACCUCAGCACAUUGUAGAGAACCAUGGAAACGCACAUGGAGCAGCAGGAGGAAUCUUAGGAUUGCCCGAGUUUAGGGCAUUGCCCCUGCCUGCCCAAAGGCGAGGGAUGUUCACCCGAAGUCACAUGGCCCCUCCACCCAGGGUUGUACCUGUCCCAGGCCCGGCCGUCAUGGAAAGACCAGCUCCUCCAGUAGCCAAUAAUAACAUGCCGAUUCAGCCCCCUGAGGGUGUGGAGGGUGAUGGCAACCACAACAACCUACUUGGAAAUAAUAAUGGUCUGAAAGCCAAUGAUUCGAAUGCAGAAGAUGCUGCAAAUUUGCUUAAACUGCGUCAAGAAAAGGAGGACGAAGAAGAGAAAGGGAAUAAAGCUGAGGAAGAUUUGAACGAUGACAAUAAACAAGGUGAAGAGAAGGAAAAGGCAUAAGAAGAAUGGGGCAGAAAUUAGAUAGAAAACUUCUCCGGAUAUUAACAGCAUACAAUUUGGACGCGGCAAUAGACGAGGAGGAGAAGAUCGUAGAGGACCUGAUGGACGACCAGGACGAGGAGGGCAAUGAGGUCAAGCGCAACAAUGAGGAAGUCCUGGAUGAGGAUAAUGCCCUGGAAGACCUCAAAGACC
rnacentral:misc_RNA from 1 species